GGGCUGAGAGGCCCCGACCCGUCGGGGCGACCGCAGGAACCUGAUCUGGGUAAUGCCAGCGCAGGGAAGCGGACAGGCUGGCGC
rnacentral:ncRNA from 1 species